rnacentral:rRNA from 2 species
AUGGACACACGUAAGCUAAGCUGUCUCAUUAACAACCAUAAAAAUUAACCUUUGGGUGAAGAGACCCAAAUUAUAUAAAAAGACGAAAAGACCCUAUGGAGCUUUACUUAAAUAGAAAACCUAAUAAAUUACAUAAAAAAAAAACUUCUUUAUAAAGUUUAGUUGGGGCGACUAAGGAGCACAAAAAAUCCUCCUUUUAAUAAAAGAAAAUAACUCUUCUACAGAUCCACCUAAGUGAAUAUAAAACCAGCUACCCUAGGGAUAACAGGCUAAUCCUCCUCGAGAGCCCAAAUUGACAGGAGGGGUUGGCACCUCGAUGUUGGCUUAAGG